rnacentral:rRNA from 1 species
AUUGAACGCUAGCGGGAUGCUUAACACAUGCAAGUCGAACGAGUGGCGGAGGGGUGAGUAAUAUAUCGGAACGUGCCCAGUAGAGGGGGAUAACUACUCGAAAGAGUGGCUACUACCGCAUACGAUGGGAGCGGCUGAUAUGGGAUUAGCUAGUUGGUGGGGUAAAGGCUCACCAAGGCAACGAUCCGUAGCAGGUCUGAGAGGACGACCGGCCACACUGGGACUGAGACACGGCCCAGACUCCUACGGGAGGCAGCAGUGGGGAAUUUUGGACAAUGGGGGAAACCCUGAUCCAGCCAUGCCGCGUGUAUGAGAAGGUCUUCGGGUUGUAAAGUACUUUUGGCAGAGAAGCGGUAUCUACAGAAUAAGCACCGGCUAACUACGUGCCAGCAGCCGCGGUAAUUC